CUAUCAUAGAUUUUCAUUGGAUCUGAUGGUGUACAAACAACUUCACCAAUUGGUUCGUACUCCCAAAGAAAAAAGGAAAAUCCCAUCAGCCCCAACCCCACUAAUUACUCUCCCGCAAUCCCCUCGUCCUCUCGCAUCGCACGCGCCUUCCCCGAGCUUGCCGUCAACUGCGUCGUCCGGAGCUUGCCGUCAACCGCGUCGCUGUGACCACUCUGAUUGCGUCACACAUCGGCUGCUUCCUCCUCGUCUUCGAGCACACAACCACCCCACCGUACAGAUCCGGUACAUGCCCCUCCAUACUCCAUCUUUCUCUCCACCGAUGCGACCUCGGGGUUCCUCUCCACCGACGUGAACCCCGGACUGCCCUCGGGGCACAUCUCAGGUGCGCCAUCCCGGCAUUAGAGGGUCGAGCCCCCCAUCUCUUUGGUGGUUGGCGCUUGCGCAGGUUCGAGUUGGCUGAAUCGGCUGCACGAGUAGCACCGGCCGGACGUAGAACCUGCGUCGAUCGCCCUCAAUUUUUAGGGGACAAAUCUCAGGAUGGAAGCAGACAUCAUACUGUAUCUGUAUUCGUAGUGGAGGCUAUGUUUGGUGGUAUGCGUCAGCUGAAGCGUAGUUCACGAUAGCACCUGCUGAACAUCAUCGGAGCUACAAUAGGGGAGAGGGUGAUGACAGCCAGAAAAAGCUAGGAGAGACGUUGCUUGAACUGGUUCAGGCUCACUCUGAAUUGUGAUUGUAAUUUUCAUUUCCUUGGAAACAAUAUCACAUAUAAAAGUAGCAUUUUUAUGUUUGUCAGA